GGAAGCAGACCCUUGGAUCUGUGGACACACUGCAGACAUUCUGACUCUCAAGGCUUGCAUCAGCAAAAAUUGUAUUUAAGGCCUAACUUUUGAAAAACAUGGACAUCAUGAUUUCAUCCAGGGAACUCUGCAGGAUGUCUGAUGGGAUGUGUAUAUCCAGUCCACUGAGCCAGAAAAGCUGGGAAAUCUUUGUAACUCAAAGCCUCAGACGGUUUCACCGACAUGCCCAAAACAGAUGAAUAUUAGAAAAUGUGUGGACAAAACAGCACCUGAAACUUCAGCCACAGUUUCCCAGCAACAGACUUGCUGAUACUGAAUGGGUAUGCAACUGAGUGGUAGGAAUCUGGAGAAAGUCACGGCUUUGCUGUGCAUGUCAAGCGGCAAUACACUGUGUGGGUCAAUGCAUUACUACAGGUGCUCAAUUAAGCAUUGGAAAACACUCACUGUGGACAUUAAGUCUUAAGCCGCAAACUGAUCACAUCAAAUCAAAACAAGGUGUUCUCGCAUUACACCACACAACUGCCUAACAUCCACGUAACCUGUGUGGCUACAAGGGCUCUAACAGAACAGAACACAAACACUGGACUAAGGCUUCGAAGGUUUUAGUUUUCUGAAUGCAAAGCAGUUCACCUGUUUCGCAGACUUCAAGAAAAUACCCUGAAUUAUUCUGUAGACUUUGGCCAAUCUUAACGUGAAAUACUUGGAUUUUUAAGAACCACAAGGGAAAAUUGCAUUAUUCAGAUUAUUUGAAAGGACUAUGACUUGUGAUAUUAUUGUGUACUUAUACAAUGCCAAAUCAAUGUAUAACGUAAUGCAAGUAUUAUUAGUGUGAUGGUCAUAUUAUGGUCACAACAGGAGAAACAUAUUGAUUAUUAGCAGUAGAGAUGAUCUGUAAUAUCUAGAAAUCCAGAAUAAUUAGCAGUAGAGAUGAUCUGUAAUAGCUAGAAAACCAGAAUAGGAGUCACUGCCAUUAAGCUAGGCUUUAUACAUAGGCUUUAUACAUAGCCUCAUAUGUUAAGUGAAGAACCAUUACAGAUUGUAAGGGGCCUGGCCCGGAUUGCCUCCCUCCUCCCCUGAGCCGCCUCCAGGGGCUGUCCCACAGCCACUGCCUCCUCCCCACCCCAACCGGCUGUGACCAGCUGCAACCAGCACAGGGCUUUGCCCACAGUGGUGCCCUGCAGCCCCGCUGCCCGAACCUGCUGCUUAUGGCCGGUACCGGCACUGAGGAGAAAAAACAGAUUUUUUUCAAACCUGCUGUGGGAUAUUCAGUGGGAUGGGGGUUCCAGACUGCACUAGGAUUCAUAGAAAUGUUCAGUUCAAAGUGGUUUGACUUGGUGAAAUGAAACCUG